rnacentral:lncRNA from 1 species
GCCCUGAGCAGCGGAGGGCCGAGAAGGCCGAUGGCAUCCUGACUGGAAUCAGGCACAGCGCAGCCAGCGGGAGCGGGGAGGUCGCUGUCCCCCUGUCCUCAGCUCUGGUGAGGCUGUGCCUCGGGUGCUGUGUUCAGUGCUGGGCUCCUCACUACAAGAAAGGCGUUGAGGCCCCGGAGUGUGUCCAGAGAAGGGCAGUAAAGCUGUGAGGGGUCUGGAGCACAAAUCUCAUGGGGAAAAGCUGAAGGAGCUGCGAUGGUUCAGUCUGCGGGAGACUCUGGGGAGACCUUAUUGUGCUCUACAGCUGCCUGAAAGAAGCUUGUGGCCAGCUGGGGGUCGGCCUCUUCUCCCAGGUAUUUGCCACUGCUGUCUGUCAGGUGGAACACAAGGAUUUUCAGCUCCUCUAAAACAGCUCCUCCUUGGCUAUUUCCAAGUAGAGAGUGAAGGACCAAGGAUUGCUGCAGUGCUCACCUUCCCCAGGUUCAGUCUGCUGUGGUCCACCAUUCUGGAUGGUGGUUGGCUUUCCAUGCUCAGGGCGUCUGCCAGUCUCCCACACGAGGCCGCGUUGCAGUUUCUGUGUCAGGAAGGUUUCUAUGUUCAUCUGCCAGUUCCAGCCCUUUCGAUAGGCGUGGAGGAGCUCUUGCUGCGCCGUGUGUGAAGGCGUGGCUACACCGAAGCAGGAGAGCAGGGUGAAGGGAAGGGGUGGCUGCGUCACCUGAACCCGGCCACCAGAGGAUCCAGCCCACGGGGCGCUCGCUCGCAGCUCACCUAGCGGGUCAUCGGCUGCAGCACAUCCCCAGGAAAGCCCCACGAGAUGUGGCAGGGGUGGAUACGAAAUAUGAACCGAAUCCAUUUGCAGGUUUGAUUUGCAGCCUGAGCACGGCCCCGACUGUUCCACCUCUCACACCGAGGGACAAACCAAGCUACAAGCACACGAAACGCCACGAGUGAAAACCCCCAAGACGUGUUUCCCUCUUUGCAGUGCCAACCGUUCCUCCUUACGCGGCGUUUGGACACACCCACAGUGCCCCACCGAACAGCCAGAAAGAAGGCGGAAGGUUCAGACCCCACCCCGAGUAUGGUCCCCUCCACCUGGUGAAGCCCAGCGGGGCUUUCCAGUGCUGCAGGCAGGAAUGCACCCCCUGACUGCUGUCCUGUGAGCAUACAGUCAGCAAGAAGGCUCAGGGAUGGAGCUGAGCAAGCAGAGUUGGCCAAAGGGGAGAGAGCCACUCCUACUGCUGUUAGCACUGAUUUUCUUGUUAUAGCAGCACAAAUAACAGUGACAAAAAUGAUCAUUACUGUGUUGUAGGCAUUUUUUUCUCACCGCAAUACUGUUUCCCUUCUAAGACAUGUAAUGAUCCCCCCCACAGCAGCUGCAGACCCGAUUGCUGCAAUGUGGACAUUGCUCAGGUGCAGCCUACCUG